UCCCUGGUGGCUCAGCCAGUAAAGCGUCUGCCUGCAGUGCAGGAGACCCAGGUUCGAUCCCUGGGUUGGGAA
rnacentral:tRNA from 1 species